rnacentral:rRNA from 1 species
CCCCUAGACGUUCUGGGCUGCACGCGCGCUACAAUAAUACGCACAGCGAGUAUCACCGAGCUCGAAAGGGCAAGGUAAACAAUAGAAAAGGUACUGUAAUGGUUAUAGAUCCUUGUAAUUAUUGAUCUUCAACGAGGAAUUCCUAGUAAGUAUGUGUCAUCAUCACGCACUGAUUACGUCCCUGCCCUUUGUACACACCGCCCGUCGCUCCUACCGAUUGAGUGAGCCGAUGAAACUGCCGGAUGUGGACUAUUCAUAGUCCGCAGAAGAUAUUUGAAUCGUAGCGCUUAGAGGAAGGAGAAGUCGUAACA